rnacentral:misc_RNA from 1 species
AAUUCUCAACUUCAAAAGCUUUUAUUAGCUUAUUGAAGCUUGGAUUGUGGGGGCUUGCUGGCAUCUUAGAUGAUCGGCUCUCCUUAAAUUUAUUAGUGGAAAUCUCUUUGUUGGAGUGAUCCUUGGUGUGAUAAUUAUCUACGCUUUGGAUAAUCCAAUGUUUCCAUUGAGAUUAACUCAGUACAAUGCCUUUGGUGUUUCUGGGUUUUUGUAGUAUUGCGACUAGUUGCUUUACUUUGGGUCUCAGAGGAAAAGGGAAGUUCUGCUCUCUAACUGUCUAUUGUAUUAUGGACAACUUAUUGACU